AACCUCCGCAAUGUGAGAAAUCGCGACGGGGGGAUCCCAAGUGCCAUUCUUAACGGGAUGGCUUUUCAUUAGUGUAAAGAGCUUUUGGAAUAAGGGCUGGGCAAGACCGGUGCCAGCCGCCGCGGUAACACCGGCAGCUCUGGUGGUAGCAGUUUUUAUUGGGCCUAAAGCGUCCGUAGCCGGUUUAAUAAGUCUCUGGUGAAAUCCUGUAGCUUAACUGUGGGAAUUGCUGGAGAUACUAUUAGACUUGAGACCGGGAGAGGUUAGAGGUACUCCCAGGGUAGAGGUGAAAUUCUGUAAUCCUGGGAGGACCGCCUGUUGCGAAGGCGUCUAACUGGAACGGUUCUGACGGUGAGGGACGAAAGUUAGGGGCGCGAACCGGAUUAGAUACCCGGGUAGUCCUAACCGUAAACGAUGCGGACUUGGUGUUGGGGUGGCUUUGAGCUGCUCCAGUGCCGAAGGGAAGCUGUUAAGUCCGCCGCCUGGGAAGUACGGUCGCAAGACUGAAACUUAAAGGAAGU
rnacentral:rRNA from 1 species